UUGCCGUUUAUGGAGUUUGUUAGUAAGUGGAAUGCCUUGUUGGCACUUCUGGGUCCAGUCCCUUUAAACGGAGCAAUAGCUCCCUCACUUUACCAACGGUUAUAUGAAAAACAUAUUUUUUAAAAUGCACAGCACGUUUUCUAUGCUCUUCUUCUUCUCAUUCUCCAUAUUCCUCCAUUACUGCAACAGGUUGAGGUCGAAACUCAGCUCCGGUUAACUGGUAUCUGUCAUUAGUAUCACCCACCGAUCCCGGCCUUUUCCCUCCUUGUAUGCCCCGCCACAACCCCAACACCCGCCUCGACGUGAUGGAUGCUCGAGUUGCUGCGUUGGAAGCAUCUGUGGAUGCUCUCUCUGAUUCCAUGGAUGCUCGCCUUGCCGCUUAUUUGAGCAAUUCCGGCGUGAAUUAGCUUGCACGGGCGGGGGCGUCGGCUCCUCUUCCUCUCAGAUCCUCACGGAUCCAGCUAAUGCUCAUGAUUUGGAACCCAAUCGCACUCCUCGUCGUGAUUUCUUGGAUGCUGGUGGUGGUACGCCACGAGCUCAAUGGCAACACCGCGUUGAUUUUCCUCGUUUUCUUCUCGAUGAUGAUCCCCUUGCUUGGAUCUACAAGGCGGAUCAGUUCUUCAAUUAUUAUCCCACUCCUCUUCAAUUAUUGUCCCACUCCUGAACACCAGAAAGUGGUCACUGUCUCCUUCCAUCUGGACGGUGAAGCUUUACAGUGGUUCCGAUAUGGAUAAAUUGCUUGCACUCUACUCCUCGCUGGGAGGAUUCUACCAGGGCUUUCUGCCGCGAAUUUGGUCCCAAUGAGUUUGAGGAUUGUGCUAAGACGCUAUUCAAGCUUCACCUGAGAGGGUUCUAAGCUCUGCAUGAGUUCAGGCUACCACCCUCAAACGGAUGGGCAAACUGAGGUGGUUAACAAGUGGGUGGAGACCUAUUUGAGAUGCUUUGUUGGAAUUCAACCUAAAAAAUGGGUGGAAUGGUUGUCGUUGGCAAAAUGGAGCUAUAAUACAUCUUACCAUUCAUCUUCAAAAUUCACGCCAUCUGAAUUGGUUUAUGGUUAUCUUCCUCCCAUUAUAACUGAUCAUGAAGUUGGUACUGCCAAAUUGGACUCAGUGGAGCAUUGCUUGCAAGAAAGGGAUAAGAAUGCAGGCUAACAAGCACAGAACUGAAAGAGAAUUCUCUGUGGAGGACUUUGUGUAUCUCAGGUUAGUUCCUUAUCAAUUACUAGGCUUUGAAUUCUCACUCCUUCCACAAACUGCAUCCUAAGUUUUAUGGCCCUUAUAAAGUAUUGGAAAGAAUUGGUCGUGUGGCUUAUAAAUUGCAGUGACCUGAGGGCUCUAAAAUUCACCUAGACUUUCAUGUUAGUUGUCUCAAGAAGCACUUGGGCAAUUUGGUUCAACCAGUUGCAGUGUUACCAAAUGUCACAUGAGAGGAUUCAGUUCAGGUGCAGCCUCACUCAGUGCUAGCUCGGAGGAUUUAUAAGAAAGGACAAGCUGCAGGAGUGCAACUGCUCGUGCAUUAGGUUGGUCAAGUUGCUGAGGAAGCAACUUGGGAAGAUUUCGACGAAUUCAAGACCAAGUUUCCAGAGUUUCAGUUGUGAAUCUUGAGGACAAGGUUGUCAUAAGGGAGGAGUAAUGAUAGGAUCCUUUAUUUAGUGACUAAAUCACUAAUAAAAAUAGUUUUUUUAAUGUAAUUUGUUAUUUUGUCAUUUAUGGAGUCUGUUGGACUGGAAUGCCUUGUUGGCACUUCCGGGUCCGGUUCCUUUAAAUGGAGCAAUAGCUCUCUCACUUUACCAACGGUUAUAUGAAAAAUUUAUUAAAAAAAAAAAAAAAAAAAAA